CUCCUCUCUACCCCAGACAGUGGUAUAGGUCUGAAGUGUGUAAUACAUAUUGUAUUCUCCUCUCUACUCCAGACAGUGGUAUAGGUCUGAAGUGUGUAAUACAUAUUGUAUUCUCCUCUCUACCACAGACAGUGGUAUAGGUCUGAAGUGUGUAAUACAUAUUGUAUUCUCCUCUCUACUCCAGACAGUGGUAUAGGUCUCCUCUCUACUCCAGACAGUGGUAUAGGUCUCCUCUCUACUCCAGACAGUGGUAUAGGUCUCCUCUCUACUCCAGACAGUGGUAUAGGUCUCCUCUCUACUCCAGACAGUGGUAUAGGUCUGAAGUGUGUAAUACAUAUUGUAUUGUCCUCUCUACCACAGACAGUGGUAUAGGUCUGAAGUGUGUAAUACAUAUUGUAUUCUCCUCUCUACUCCAGACAGUGGUAUAGGUCUGAAGUGUGUAAUACAUAUUGUAUUCUCCUCUCUACUCCAGACAGUGGUAUAGGUCUCCUCUAUACUCCAGACAGUGGUAUAGGUCUCCUCUCUACCCCAGACAGUGGUAUAGGUCUGAAGUGUGUAAUACAUAUUGUAUUCUCCUCUCUACCCCAGACAGUGGUAUAGGUCUGAAGUGUGUAAUACAUAUUGUAUUCUCCUCUCUACCCCAGACAGUGGUAUAGGUCUCCUCUCUACUCCAGACAGUGGUAUAGGUCUGAAGUGUGUAAUACAUAUUGUAUUCUCCUCUCUACCCCAGACAGUGGUAUAGGUCUCCUCUCUACCCCAGACAGUGGUAUAGGUCUGAAGUGUGUAAUACAUAUUGUAUUCUCCUCUCUACCCCAGACAGUGGUAUAGGUCUCCUCUCUACCCCAGACAGUGGUAUAGGUCUGAAGUGUGUAAUACAUAUUGUAUUCUCCUCUCUACUCCAGACAGUGGUAUAGGUCUGAAGUGUGUAAUACAUAUUGUAUUCUCCUCUCUACCCCAGACAGUGGUAUAGGUCUGAAGUGUGUAAUACAUAUUGUAUUCUCCUCUCUACCCCAGACAGUGGUAUAGGUCUGAAGUGUGUAAUACAUAUUGUAUUCUCCUCUCUACCCCAGACAGUGGUAUAGGUCUCCUCUCUACUCCAGACAGUGGUAUAGGUCUGAAGUGUGUAAUACAUAUUGUAUUGUCCUCUCUACCACAGACAGUGGUAUAGGUCUGAAGUGUGUAAUACAUAUUGUAUUAUCCUCUCUACUCCAGACAGUGGUAUAGGUCUGAAGUGUGUAAUACAUAUUGUAUUCUCCUCUCUACCCCAGACAGUGGUAUAGGUCUGAAGUGUGUAAUACAUAUUGUAUUCUCCUCUCUACCCCAGACAGUGGUAUAGGUCUCCUCUCUACUCCAGACAGUGGUAUAGGUCUGAAGUGUGUAAUACAUAUUGUAUUGUCCUCUCUACCACAGACAGUGGUAUAGGUCUCCUCUCUACUCCAGACAGUGGUAUAGGUCUCCUCUCUACUCCAGACAGUGGUAUAGGUCUGAAGUGUGUAAUACAUAUUGUAUUCUCCUCUCUACUCCAGACAGUGGUAUAGGUCUGAAGUGUGUAAUACAUAUUGUAUUCUCCUCUCUACUCCAGACAGUGGUAUAGGUCUGAAGUGUGUAAUACAUAUUGUAUUCUCCUCUCUACUCCAGACAGUGGUAUAGGUCUCCUCUAUACUCCAGACAGUGGUAUAGGUCUCCUCUCUACCCCAGACAGUGGUAUAGGUCUGAAGUGUGUAAUACAUAUUGUAUUCUCCUCUCUACCCCAGACAGUGGUAUAGGUCUGAAGUGUGUAAUACAUAUUGUAUUCUCCUCUCUACCCCAGACAGUGGUAUAGGUCUCCUCUCUACUCCAGACAGUGGUAUAGGUCUGAAGUGUGUAAUACAUAUUGUAUUCUCCUCUCUACCCCAGACAGUGGUAUAGGUCUCCUCUCUACCCCAGACAGUGGUAUAGGUCUGAAGUGUGUAAUACAUAUUGUAUUCUCCUCUCUACUCCAGACAGUGGUAUAGGUCUGAAGUGUGUAAUACAUAUUGUAUUCUCCUCUCUACCCCAGACAGUGGUAUAGGUCUGAAGUGUGUAAUACAUAUUGUAUUCUCCUCUCUACCCCAGACAGUGGUAUAGGUCUCCUCUCUACCCCAGACAGUGGUAUAGGUCUGAAGUGUGUAAUACAUAUUGUAUUCUGCUCUC